rnacentral:ncRNA from 1 species
GAGGUGAGCCGAGAGGGCUCGCCCGGACGAGGGAGCCGUACCCGGAACGCCAUGACGGCCACC